AACGAACGCUGGCGGCAGGCCUAAUACAUGCAAGUCGAACGAUCCUUCGGGAUAGUGGCGCACGGGUGAGUAACACGUGGGAACAUACCCUUGGGUGCGGAACAACGUCGGGAAACUGACGCUAAUACCGCAUAAUGACUCCGGUCCAAAGAUUUAUCGCCCAAGGAUUGGCCCGCGCUAGAUUAGGUUGUUGGUGAGGUAACGGCUCACCAAGCCUACGAUCUAUAGCUGGUCUGAGAGGAUGAUCAGCCACACUGGGACUGAGACACGGCCCAGACUCCUACGGGAGGCAGCAGUAAGGAAUAUUGGACAAUGGGGGCAACCCUGAUCCAGCCAUGCCGCGUGAGUGAAGAAGGCCUUAGGGUUGUAAAGCUCUUUCAGGUGCGAAGAUAAUGACUGUAACACCAGAAGAAGCCCCGGCUAAAUUCGUGCCAGCAGCCGCGGUAAAGUACAGUGU
rnacentral:rRNA from 1 species